GUAUAUAUAAUUUAAAUAAAAUAUUAAACUUGUGACUUUAAUUAUGAGAGUUAAAAC
rnacentral:tRNA from 1 species